GCGGAGGUAGGCGUUUUAGUCCCACCUCGCCUGGCUGAGCGGGAGGGGGCAGAGCGCUCGGCUACAUAUGAGGGCGGGGUGCGAAUGGGAAGAGGCACGCAGCUGCGUGGUGAGCACAAAGCGAACUAUUCUUUCGCCUUUUACUAAAGAAUACCGUGUGCACGCCACACUAAGCAGCAUACCCUAAUUUUUUGAGGGUGUUUUCUCCUUGUGAGAAAGC
rnacentral:snRNA from 1 species